UAAAAAUUAGUUAAUAACCUAUAACAUAAGUUUGUCAAACUUAAAUAAUUUUAUAAAUAUUUUUAU
rnacentral:tRNA from 1 species